rnacentral:rRNA from 1 species
UACUGCCAGACUUGGAACCGGGAGAGGUAAGAGGUACUACAGGGGUAGGAGUGAAAUCUUGUAAUCCCUGUGGGACCACCUGUGGCGAAGGCGUCUUACCAGAACGGGUUCGACGGUGAGGGACGAAAGCUGGGGGCACGAACCGGACUAGAUACCCGGGUAGUCCCAGCCGUAAACGAUGCUCGCUAGGUGUCAGGCAUGGCGCGACCGUGUCUGGUGCCGCAGGGAAGCCGUGAAGCGAGCCACCUGGGAAGUACGGCCGCAAGGCUGAAACUUAAAGGAAUUGGCGGGGGAGCACAACAACGGGUGGAGCCCUGCGGUUUAAUUGGACUCAACGCCGGACAACUCACCGGGGGCGACAGCAAUAUGUAGGCCAAGCUGAAGACUUUGCCUGAAUCGCUGAGAAGUGGUGCAUGG